GUCCAGCUGAUGAGUCCGAAAUAGGACGAAACGAACGUCCUGGAU
rnacentral:hammerhead_ribozyme from 1 species